ensembl:lncRNA
UUAGUGUAUAAUAUAUAUCAGAUUAUACAAUAAUCCAAUUAAAUAAUCAUAUAUACUGCAUGUAUGUUUGUAUCAAUAUUUGACAUAGAUGCUGCAGUUAUUAAAGAAAAGGUGAAAUCAGCCCCUGUAAAGAAAGAAGCUGAAAUUCACAAAGAAAACGCCAAAGCAGCUUCAUCAAAGAAAGAGUCCAAGGAAACUAAGGAACAAGCCAAACCAGAGCCUUCAAAUGAAGGUACAGAUAGGAUGUUUUUUUCUGGCUUCAAAAUGUAUAAUGGCGCAAUUCUUGAGAUUCAUGUUGUGUCUUGUCCAAUGAUUUUUUUAGACAGUGAAGUUCCCAAAGAACAAACCAUAGCAGCUACAUCAAAGAAAGAUGCUGAAGCAAAAGAAAAGGCCAAAUUAGCUCCAGAAAAGAAAGAUGCUGCAGUUAUUAAAGAAAAGAUCAAAUCAGCUCCUGCAAAGAAAGAUGCUGAUGUUGUUAAAGAAAAGACGAGACCAGUUCCUGCAAAGAAAGUGAAAACUGUAAAAGACAAGACAAAACCAGCACUGGCUAAGAAAGAGGCUGAAGUUGGCAAAGAAAAGUCCAAACCAACACCUGCAAAGAAAGAACUUGUUGCACCACUGGGGAAAGCACGACCAAAAAUUGGAAUCAAAGAAUCUGAAGUCAUUCGCAGAAAUCACAGUCACAUAAAUUCUUCUCUUACAAAGGAGAGAGUUAAAGUUGUACUUGUAAAGAAAGAACCUGCUCUGAAAGAGAAGGCCAUGCCAGCCCCUGCAAAGAAAGAACGUGAGGCUCCCAACCAGAAGGACAAACCAGUAUCUCAAAAGAAAGGUACUGAUUCAAUUCAAGAACCUGAGGGUGUGAAAGAGAUGGACAAACCAGACCCUCUUAAGAAAGAGCCUGAUGCGCCAAAGGAGAAUGCCAGACCUGUGAAAAAAGGUAGGUAA